rnacentral:tRNA from 1 species
AAAAUUCGUCGACUUUAUAAGUUGUGAGGGUUCAAGUCCCUCUAUCCCCA